rnacentral:rRNA from 1 species
AGAGUUGAUCCUGGCUCAGAGCGAACGUUAGCGGCGGGCCUAACACAUGCAAGUCGAACGAGAAAGGGACUUCGGUCCUGAUUAAAGUGGCGCACGGGUGAGUAACACGUAGGUAAUCUACCCUUUGGCGGGGGACAACAUUUCGAAAGAGAUGCUAAUACCGCAUAAGACCACGAUCUCCUUGGAGGAAGUGGGAAAAGGUGGCCUCUUCCACCACCAAAGGAUGAGCCUGCGUCCCAUCAGCUUGUUGGUGAGGUAAUGGCUCACCAAGGCGAAGACGGGUAGCUGGUCUGAGAGGAUGAUCAGCCACACUGGCACUGGAACACGGGCCAGACUCCUACGGGAGGCAGCAGUGAGGAAUAUUGGGCAAUGGGCGAAAGCCUGACCCAGCCACGCCGCGUGAGUGAUGAAGGCCUUCGGGUCGUAAAGCACUGUGGGGAGAGACGAACAUGCGCAGGAGGAAAUGCCUGCGUACUGACGGUACCUCCUUAGCAAGCACCGGCUAACUCUGUGCCAGCAGCCGCGGUAAUACAGAGGGUGCAAGCGUUAAUCGGAAUUACUGGGCGUAAAGCGCGCGUAGGCGGUUAGAUAAGUCAGAUGUGAAAGCCCCGGGCUCAACCUGGGAACUGCAUUUGAAACUGUUUAACUAGAGUGUGGUAGAGGAGAGUGGAAUUUCAGGUGUAGCGGUGAAAUGCGUAGAUAUCUGUAGGAACACCAGUGGCGAAGGCGGCUCUCUGGACCAAUACUGACGCUGAGGUGCGAAAGCGUGGGUAGCAAACGGGAUUAGAUACCCCGGUAGUCCACGCCGUAAACGAUGUCAACUAACUGUUGGGGCGGGUUUCCGCUUAGUGGUGCAGCUAACGCAAUAAGUUGACCGCCUGGGGAGUACGGCCGCAAGGCUAAAACUCAAAUGAAUUGACGGGGGCCCGCACAAGCGGUGGAGCAUGUGGUUUAAUUCGAUGCAACGCGAAGAACCUUACCUACCCUUGACAUCCAGAGAAUCUGUUAGAGAUAGUAGAGUGCCUUCGGGAAUUCUGUGACAGGUGCUGCAUGGCUGUCGUCAGCUCGUGUCGUGAGAUGUUGGGUUAAGUCCCGUAACGAGCGCAACCCUUAUCCUUAGUUGCUAGCAGGUAAUGCUGAGAACUCUAGGGAGACUGCCGGUGAUAAACCGGAGGAAGGUGGGGACGACGUCAAGUCAUCAUGGCCCUUAUGGGUAGGGCUACACACGUGCUACAAUGGUCAGUACAGAGGGUUGCGAACUCGCGAGAGUAAGCUAAUCUCAGAAAGCUGAUCUUAGUCCGGAUUGGAGUCUGCAACUCGACUCCAUGAAGUUGGAAUCGCUAGUAAUCGCGGAUCAGAAUGCCGCGGUGAAUACGUUCCCGGGCCUUGUACACACCGCCCGUCACACCAUGGGAGUGGGUUGCAAAAGAAGUGGGUAGACUAACCUUCGGGAGGUCGCUCACCACUUUGUGAUUCAUGACUGGGGUGAAGUCGUAACAAGGUAGCC